UCUAAUCAAAGAGGAUCCCAAGGCCGCUCAUAACCGUGAGCACGGCUGAUAUAUCAGUUUCUAACCCUCUGCAGAGGUCGCACACUUUACCCACAAGUCGUGAUUCCCAUUCUGCCCGGAGAUCAUGACUCUCCAUUGAUCACUACCAAGGUGACCUAGCAGGGUCUCACUACGUAGCCUUUACAAAGAUUCCCUAGAGGUCAUAGCCGCCCGUUAGGUUUCUCCAGUUUGAUAAACACAGUACCUCUCCCCGAAGGAGGGUGACUAACAAAAGCAAAACGAAAGAACCUCGGCACCCAGCCUCGGCAGAGCAAGCACUGUGCCUGGACCCCAUUGACGACACGACGGCGAAGCAACUACACCUCUAGUUCCUCUAAUUAAUUAGCUAAGGGCAUCCCAUUUCACCCUCAUGGUUGCACUGUUAUCCCGGGUGGUCUCUCAACGAACAGGUCCUUACGGAGAGGUACUCGGGAAACAGCCCGAGUCCCCUAAAUGCCACAAGUAUAUCAUCAUGUCCAGAAUAAAAUCAUAGUAUCAUCAUUGUAUCUCAUCAUGUUCAUUGAUUAAAGUAAAGCAAUAGCAUGAAGCUAACCAUAAUAGCCCAAAAGGUAAUCAAGAGUGAGGUAAAUACAAAGCUAGUCAAUCCUUAAGUUGAUCAUGGUAUGCGGUUGAUGAAUUAUAAAGUAAAUGGGACAUAAUAGGUCAGAGGACACUUGCCUUCACCAAAUUGAUGCUCAGGGUCUUCAGCCUCGUAGAACUCGAAGAGUUCGAUCACUUGGUCGCCAAAGCUUGACCGUCGAUUCCUCGAAGCUCAAAAAUGGAUCGCAGUCUACUCGCGACGCACAAUGAAUACAAACAGGCACAAACAAGCAAGCAUAUAUAUGCAUAAGAACAUUACACCAUUCAGAGAGAAACAUAAUAAUAAUAAUAAUAAAACAUGCAAUACGAAACGGAACGCGUUACUACGGUCACACGAGGAAAAAGAAACGCGACGGUCGAGAAGUUAUCGCGUUUACACUAAACGAGUAUUAACCAUAACAUUUAGUUUGACCUGAUUAUAUUAAUCAAUAUUUAUUUAAAAUGAAGCUAGAGCUAUCGCACAAUUUUAAUUAGCUGACCACACUAACAAUUCUUAGUUAAAUAAGUAAUUUAAAUAACGACAACGACUCUAAGCGGAAACGAAAUAGCGGAGCGAGACGAAAUACGUAACGCGCGAAACAGCACGACAUCGUGCAAACGACGCGCGGACACGCGCGGCAUAGCAUGCUGGCGAUAGACGAAACAGCGAGCGUGACGAACGCGAACGACGCGCGAACCAGCACGCCACUGCGCGGAACAGCACCCGCGACAGGCGAGACUAACUGAUCAGGUGACACAUUUAUACUAAACACCUAUUAAAUAAAUAAAAACAAGUUAAGCUAAUACUAGCCAGGUUAAAUGCCAAUUACAACCUUAAAAGUAAUCAGAUUAUAUUUACAAACCUUGCAUAGGACCUGCUACAUUUAAGUAGUAAAUCUUGAAGGGCAUGACACGCAAGGAUCGUAAUGAUAUCGUUUUUAUGCUAAGUGGGUAUUAACUAUAAUACUUAUUUUCAGCAUGAUCAUAUCAGUAGGCAUUUAUAAAAUAUAAAUUAACGCAACCGCUUAGUCUCAAUUAUUUUAAUACUCUAAUAGUUAAUAGCUACACAGGUGAUCAAUUAACAUGAAUGAUCAUAAGCGAAAACAAUUUAAUAACGCGCGAAAGACGCGUGACGACACACGACACUAUGCGAAACAGCGUGCGAACGGCACGCGGAAUAAUGCGCACGACAGCGCGUGACACGUACGAGUCAACGCGACUACGCACACGAACAGCACGAUGUCACACAAACGAUGUCGUGCGCGAACAACAAACAAAUAAUUAAUGAAAAGUAUUUCGGUUGGUAUUAAUCACGUUAACUAACAUUUAUUUAUAAAAGCGCGAGUUAAAGCUAUAAAACAAUUUAAUUAGAAGGCCGUUUUAAUAAGUAUGGAAUGAAUAGCUAAUUAAACAAUAUAGACUUGUGACAUGUUAGAAUACAUUACUAAUACGAAAUCGACGUGACUGAACAAUUAAUUUAGAACGAACACAAUAUACCACAGCGCUAAUCGAUAUCGUGUCUAUACUAACCAAACAUAAACGAAAACGCUUCUGAUUGACACAACUACCUUAAUAGCUAUCGAUGAAGCGCGUAAUUAAAAUUACAAGUUCGUUUUCGGUCGAAUUGUUAUUUUAAUCACCGAACAACCAAUUACUACUUAAUUAUUUAAUAUGCACCCAGUGGCGAAACGAUUUUACCAAAACGUGCAACUAGCGAUUUGCGUGAACGACACGCGAAUCAACACGUAACCACGGGCAGAGCCGCGCGUACGAUACGCGAGAUAAACUAAUUAAACGUCGCAUUUACAUUAAACUAAAUAUUAAUCGCGUCGACACGCAUUUAUAAAGCGCAAGUGAAUAACUAUAAAUUAGUUAAAUUAAAAAGUCUAAUUAAUUAACGUUAGUUAAACAAAAACGUGAGGCAUGGCGGAAAAAAAAACUACUAACGCGUAGAGGAUGCUCACCUAGAUGCGGAUAUGGACGGCGCAACGGGCUCCAGCGAGGCCGUGGGUGACGACGGGGCGAGCUCGCGACGGGUGGUGAACGGAGACGACGCAGCGAACCGUUGCGCAGCAAGGCGAGGCGCGACGGAAGGCGGCAUAACGCGACAACGACGUAGAGGCAGGGCGUGGCCUGGGCACGCAAGCCAGGGGACAGACGACGGCGAGCUGCUUAGAGCGGACGUCUGGUUCGACAAAGGUGGUCGCGGUUGGGGCGUGCGCGGCGAGAGCUUCCUGCGUGGCCGUAGCCUCCGGCGACCAGGGCUAGGACGAGCACGAACGCCGCGACGGCGAUGGGGAAUCCGCGCCUGGGGCUGCCGGUGUGCUCGCACAGACCCUUGCCGCGCAGGGGCUCGGACGGUUGGAGAAGACGUGCCCUGGCGGCCAGAGAACGAGCAGCGGCUGCGCGAGCGGCUGGGCGACCUGUUCUGCGCGCGCGAGCUGGGCUUGCUGGGAGCGUUGGCGAGCAGGCCUGGCGGCCUAGGCGAGCGUGCAAGGAGCGGCGGCUGGGCAGCACACGCUUGGGGCAGCGGCUGGGCGAGCGGAUCGUGGGCGCGGAUGCAGGCGUGCGCGGGCGAUGUGCAGGCGGCCGAGCGAGCGCACGCAGGUGGCGGCGCGGAGCACGACGGCGCGCGCCCAGGGAGCAGUCCAAGGACAGAGCAACGACGCCAUUGGAGGAGAGCUCGAUCCGUAGAGGAACUCGACGUGCACUGGACUGGGCGGCUCCUUGUGCGCGUCGUGGGGCUCAACACGAUUGGCGGCAUGCGAGUGGAGAGGGUGGUUGCGAGGAAGAAGGAACCCGACCGGUGGGCCCGGCGGCUGGGCAGGGGUACCAUGCGGCGGCUAGGGUUUGGGGGGCGUCGGCGCCGGGAUGGGCCAGGUGGGCCUCGCGGCUGCGCGCAGGAAUGGGCCGGAGCUGGGCCGCUCGAGUGCGUUGUGCGCACGGGAGCUCAAGCAGGCUGGACGCUAGGUGGGCCACGCGAGAGCUGGUGGGCUGAGGGAGGUUUUCCUUUUUUUUUGUUAUUUCUUUCUCUUCUUUUUUUUAUUCUUCUUCAAAUCUAAAUAUAGUUUUUGAAUCAAAGAUUCAAAUAUUUAAUGAGAUUGAAUUGAUGCCCAAACACAAUAAUUCGACACGAAAAUAUGCCUCGGCAUGCCAUGCAACAAUCAAGGACCCUCUUAGGGUUUUAUUUUACGAGGAUUAUGCCAGUAUAAAACAAAAAUAAUUCUCCAUUUUUGGGAAAAGAUAAGGAAAACAGAGAAAUGAGAGAGUAACAACCUGAAUUUGGUGGAUAUUUAGAAAAGAAAUUUUAUACCCCUAAAUUCAGGGUGUUACAAAUCUAACCCCCUUAACAGAAUCUCGCCCCCGAGAUUCAAGAAGAGGCUAGCAGGAAACUGGGAUUGGUUCAUUAGUCUUUCAUAGCUUUUUCUAACUCAACUUUGACUCCGCCAGCUUGACUUGUGGAUUGGUUGCUUUGACCAUCCGAUGCUUGAGACCGAUUGAUGCAAUUCUUGAGGGUCUCAUGGACUUGUGGGUUAGGACCCACACACGCUUUCGCUGCGCCAAUCUGAUCUUGUUGGUUGAUGUUGAUUGCACUGUCUUCAUUGGGGUUAGCGGCUAACCCCCUUAACAAGAGCAUUGAUACACACUUGAUGAAGAUGUUGCCGACUCUGAUCGUGACUGAUUUGGAGGAGCUGGAGGUUGCCAAAAGGACAGGUGCAAGAGGAAAGAAUAACGAGAAAAGGUAAGUAUAGACAGAUUAGAGAGAGCAGGGGGAGAACCCAACUAACCAACUCUAUGGCACCCAGCUAGUAAACUGAUGUCAUUGCGGACCAAGGGCCACAACACAUCAACACUCAUCACAAAGAAGCAAAUCAGUCAUCACACAAAGACAAACAGCACAAGCAUACAACAACAAACAUCUCGUUGCUAUACGUUUCUUUUAAUUAAAUGGUGGUCUUUCCUUAAAAAAGGGAAACUACUCUAAGGCCAACAAAAGGCAAGGGGAAUAAUAAGACAUGGAGGCUAGGGGCAUGAACAUAAUAAAGGAUGGAGCUAAAGCAAUGAUUGUAACCGACAAGGGAGAGAAUGCAACCAAGGUCAGGAUAGGUAAAACACCAUUCUCAAAUCGAGAUGGAAAAGAUGAUAUUUCAAAAGGUAGGCAUAGGAUAAGCAUCAAGGUAAAAAUCGAGGGAUGACAAGUGUUAAGGUGAUAAUGGACAAACACACAAUAAAGGAUGUAUUUUAGACAAGACUUGCAAGACGUCAAAGAAGGGGGAGCAGUCAAUGGCGAAAUAGGUAAGACAUUAUCCUCGAACAAGGAUGGAAAAGAGAAGGCUUUAAAGGGGAGGUUCAAAGUAAGCACGAAGGUAAGGGUACGAAUAUUUCAAGGGUUAAAGGUGAUAACUGACAAGAGUGUAAGAGAGGAGGUAAAUGGGCAAAAGAACAAAGGAUAUAAGUACCAUAGACGAUGGAGAUAAGACGGACCUGCAAAUGGAAAAGGAGAGGGUACGUCCAAGGGCAGAUGGGUAAAUUGCCACUCUCAAAUUGAGGUGGAAGAGAGGAGAUUUUUAAGUGGGCAUAAAGGUGAGUAUCAAGGCAAGAUCGAUAGAUGACCAGGGAAUGGUGAUAGCAAAUAAAAACACAUCAAAGGAUGGAAUUGGGACAUAACCUGUAAGGCGACAAGGAGGGAAAAGAAAUUAAAGGAGAGAUAGGUAACUCACAGCCUCAAACUUGCUUGAAGGAAAGGGGAGGAUUUUAAAGAUGUAUUCAAGGUAAGCAUUUAGGUAGAGGACAUCAUUAUCGCAAGGUUCAAAGGCGAUUACAGACAAGGGUAUAUGGGGAAAGAUGAAGGCAUUGGAGAGCCAGUGGUAUGAGUACAACAAAGAAUGGAGUUGCACCCAUGCUUACACGCGGUAAAGAAGAGGAUAUAGCCAAGAGUGAGGUAAGUAAAACACCGCUCUCAAAUUGAGAUAGGAGAUUGGAGAUUUUAGAUAACAGACAUAAUGUAAUCACAAGGUAUGAUAGAGUGAUGAGAAGGGUAAAUGAAGUAAUAAACAAAAACCCAACAAACGAUAGAGUUAAAAACUCACAGGUGACAGAAGAGGAUACGACCAAGGGAAAAAUAGGUAAAGUACAAUGCUCAGAUUGAGAUGGAAGAGAGGAUAUUUUAAAGGCCGGUAUAAGAUAAACAACAAGGUAAGAUAUAGGGGUGACAAGGAUAAAGGUGAUAAUGAUGAAAACAUAAUCCAUGGACAGAGUUAAGACAGGACUUGUUGAGGGACGAAGUGAAGAAAACAAUCAAGGAUAAGAUAAGUGAGGUUCCGACAGAAGAGUUGAAAUAAAAAUUCAUUACCGAAGGAAGUUACAAGGAAUCAAUGAGAUCACCAAGGAUGUGCGAAAUAAAAUGAAUGCUCAUGGAUCAUCGAGAAACAAGGGUGGUCAAGGGAAUGUAAAAUGAAAUAUCCUAAAUAGACCUUGGGAUAUGAAGAUAAACAUACAUAAAAAAUAUAAGAGUAUGCAAGACUUCAAGGAUACGAGCAUACCAAGACCAAGGGAAAUAGGGAUGGUCAAAUGGUAGCAAUUUAAUAAUGGAAGACAAAAAGAAUCCCAAAAGACAAGAAGGUUAUGAUCAGGGGGCAUCUACAAAGAUGUCGCAAGCACAAGAUGAGAUCAGAUCUAAUAGAUUGAGAGAAGUAUAGACCAUACUAGAAUAAAAUACUUUUUGGCAAGGGGGCAUAUAGGAGCGCAACAUAGAAUUAGUCGAGGUGACUAAUAUUUUGAAGCAAAAUCAAGGAUGAGAUGAAGUAAUAAUCAAUAAGUCCUUAAAACGGCCAAUGCUACUCUAGGUUAGCGGUCCUACAGUCAGCCUGGCUUUGAUACCACUUAUGUCACACCCGGUUUUGAAGGUAAACCGAAUGCGAACCAUGUACGUGCCAGGAUCAGUAAUUCACGUACACAGCGAUUACAUAAAUGACUCAUCAUAGCACAAUGCUUCGAAUUACAGUAAAGAGUAAGUAAUAAUAUUACAAACUAGAGUCAUUUACAUAAUAUAAAUCAAAGUACACAGAAUCGAAACGUAGCCAACGUAAACAACCCACCACAGGCAGCUGACUGGGGGAGGUCGCUAGCCUAAUCCUCGAACUCAUCGAAGUCCUAGAACUCCUGGAGAUCCGCCUCGACGCCUUCUUUACCUGAGCAUAGAUUGCACCAAAGGCAACCUGGUGUUUUGUGAAAGCAAGGGUGAGUACACAUCAACGUACUCAGCAAAUGUCCCGUUUGGCUGAGGUGGACUAGCUUUAUGUGGGGUUAAGCUCAAGCAGUUGCUUUUAGUUGGUCAGGUAUUUAUUAUUAGUGGAAGCCAAGUUUUAUCAUAUAACCAACCCGUGAAUCAUUUCCUCAUCGAGGAACAUCAUUAUCGUCAUCGAACCAAAAUAAUAAAUAGAACCAUUGUAUCUCAGAUCAUCGGUAUCUCGAACCAUCUGUAUCUCUAAUCAAAGAGGAUCCCAAGGCCGCUCAUAACCGUGAGCACGACUGAUAUAUCAGUUUCUAACCCUCUGCAGAGGUCGCACACUUUACCCACAAGUCGUGAUUCCCAUUCUGCCCGGAGAUCAUGACUCUCCAUUGAUCACUACCAAGGUGAUCUAGCAGGGUCUCACUACGUAGCCUUUACAAAGAUUCCCUAGAGGUCAUAGCCGCCCGUUAGGUUUCUCCAGUUUGAUAAACACAGUACCUCUCCCCGAAGGAGGGUGACUAACAAAAGCAAAACGAAAGAACCUCGGCACCCAGCCUCGGCAGAGCAAGCACUGUGCCUGGACCCCAUUGACGACACGACGGCGAAGCAACUACACCUCUAGUUCCUCUAAUUAAUUAGCUAAGGGCAUCCCAUUUCACCCUCAUGGUUGCACUGUUAUCCCGGGUGGUCUCUCAACGAACAG
rnacentral:lncRNA from 1 species